CGAUCCUUUGGUAGGGGAAACAACUGGAACGGCUGCUAAUACCCCAUAUGCUUUCGAGUGAAAUGGAUUUCCGCCUAAAGAGAAGCUUGCGGCUGAUUAGCUUGUUGGUAGAGUAAUAGCCUACCAAGGCGACGAUCAGUAUCUGGUUUGAGAGGACGAUCAGACACACUGGAACUGAGACACGGUCCAGACUCCUACGGGAGGCAGCAGUAGGGAAUUUUCCGCAAUGGGCGAAAGCCUGACGGAGCAAUACCGCGUGAGGGAUGACUGCCUAUGGGUUGUAAACCUCUUUUUUCAGGGAGGAAAAAAAUGACGUUACCUGAAGAAUAAGCAUCGGCUAACUCCGUGCCAGCAGCCGCGGUAAGACGGAGGAUACAAGUGUUAUCCGGAAUCACUGGGCGUAAAGCGUCUGUAGGUGGCCUAAUAAGUCAACUGUUAAAUCUUGGAGCUCAACUUCAAAAUCGCAGUCGAAACUAUUAGACUAGAGUAUAGUAGAGGUAAAGGGAAUUUCCAGUGGAGCGGUGAAAUGCGUAGAGAUUGGAAAGAACACCGAUGGCGAAGGCACUUUACUGGGCUAUUACUGACACUCAGAGACGAAAGCUAGGGUAGCAAAAGGGAUUAGAUACCCAGUG
rnacentral:rRNA from 1 species